rnacentral:misc_RNA from 1 species
AUGGAAGUUAUGAAUCCAAGACCUGAUCAAUACAUAGAAGCAAACCAAAUCAUCAGUAUGACGUGCAGAAAUAAAAUAACUUCAUUCAUCAUUCUAUGCCACCUAAGAUAUUACAACCUCUUACAUUAUGUUUGGGAGGAGUGUAUGGAGGUAAGGUAAGAUUUUUUAAAGUAAGGUAAGACAAAGUAAUUGAAGGUAAAGUAGAAUUUUUUUAAUCUCAUUUUGUUUGGGAGGAAGGUAUGGUAAAUGAUGAUUUAGUAUUUUUAUAUGGUUUAGGUGGAAGGUAGGGAAGGUAAAGUUAGAUACAAUAUUACCUAAAUAUCCCUUAUUAUGUAAAGGGAUAUGCUUUAAUAUUUAAAUAAUCAUAAUUACAAAAAUUUUAAAAUCUAUUAAUGAUAAUAUGGGUAAUAAAUAAAUUAUGGCUUAUUAAAACCUUCAAAACCCUUAAUUUGGAGUGUUGAAAAGUGAGGGUUUUGGAGGUUUUGAAAACCCUCA